UACGAAGGGGGCUAGCGUUGCUCGGAAUCACUGGGCGUAAAGCGCACGUAGGCGGCUUCUUAAGUCAGGGGUGAAAUCCUGGAGCUCAACUCCAGAACUGCCUUUGAUACUGGGAAGCUUGAGUUCGGGAGAGGUGAGUGGAACUGCGAGUGUAGAGGUGAAAUUCGUAGAUAUUGGGAAGAACACCGGUGGCGAAGGCGGCUCACUGGCCCGUUUCUGACGCUCAGGCGCGACAGCGUGGGGAUCAAACAGG
rnacentral:rRNA from 1 species